rnacentral:rRNA from 1 species
UACGGAGGGUGCAAGCGUUAAUCGGAAUUACUGGGCGUAAAGCGUGCGCAGGCGGUUAUAUAAGACAGUUGUGAAAUCCCCGGGCUCAACCUGGGAACUGCAUCUGUGACUGUAUAGCUAGAGUACGGUAGAGGGGGAUGGAAUUCCGCGUGUAGCAGUGAAAUGCGUAGAUAUGCGGAGGAACACCGAUGGCGAAGGCAAUCCCCUGGACCUGUACUGACGCUCAUGCACGAAAGCGUGGGGAGCAAACAGG